ensembl:lncRNA
GGGAAGGAUUGUUGGAGCUGCUCCAUCUGCUGAGAGACCAAAGUCUCUUCAUAGGAGUUUCCUAAGAAACAUCAGACCCCAAAACCAACAGAGCCAAUUGUGUGAUCCUUAUGAUCAAGCAACAUGACUCUCUAGUGAUACAAGGCAGCUUUUGUUUACAGACUGUGUUUUGUAUGCGUCCUGUCAAAUUAAGUCAGCGAACACAUCCACUGCCUAAAGCCGCCACGGUCCUGGCACGGGGUCGAGCAGGCAAGUAAAGCAUGUGGGGGAAGGGAGUAGCGCUGAAACCCUAUGAAUGUUUCAUCUCUUCCAGCCGCGAGUCCUCAUCACAAGUGUGAGAGCCAGGCGAGGAGGCAUCCAUCCCCCUUUAUCCUUGAAAUUACAGUGAAGGCAAGACAGAAAAAGGCAGAAGGAAUAUUUUUGAAGAACCUAAAGCCGAUAUGCCCCUCUAGCACUCAAGAGAUGCCUAUGAUUUCCCUGUUGAAGAGGUUGUCAGUUCCCUCUACAGUACUCUGCUUCUGUGUAUCCACUCUGAGAUGUCUCACUGGGGCUUUGGAUGGCUGGAAGAUCAUCACCCUUCAACUAGGAGCUGGAACUGAGAGUUCACUGCUGCAAAAGCUGCUCUCUGAACUUUGAUCUUGGGACAUGCUGAGCAGUUUUGGAGAAGUACUAAGCAAGGACAUGGGCGAGGUUGUUUGCCUUUGGCUUGAGUGUGUUCAGGAUGAAGAUUUGUUUCCCUUUUGAAAAGCAGUUAGUCGCUAUUCUUGAAUGUUAGAUGGGGAGUGUACAUUAAAACAUCCCCGCCGAGCACUCAAACCAUUAUUGUCAUCAUGCUUGGCAAUUUUCAUCCUCAAGGUGCUUUAUAAACAUUAAGGCCUAGCUUUUGGCUGAAGCAUUUAAAAAGAGAACUGGUGUGAGGGGUUGUGUCCACCCAGGGCUCCUGCUGGUGAGCAGCUUGAGCUCCUUCAGCUCAUAUGAUGGGCAAAUUGAAAGCCUCCUCUCCAGUUACUAGAGUGAAGAGAUGCUGUAGUAACAACAGUGCCUAGAAGCAGAUUAUAGCCUGCCUAGGAUGCAACAUGUUAUCCUAACGCAUUAGAUUUUGGAUUUGGGCCAAGCAGAACAUAUCUUGCAACGAAUAGCCCCAUUCUUUCCCUUGUGGUGCGAGCAGUGGUUUUCAGUCAUGGACCCUUCAUUAUUCAAGCCCACUUGGUGGGUGCAGCAUCUCAUUUUCAUAGCUGAACGUCACCUAGACUUCUGUGUGUGUUUUAAAAAAUAUUUGUAUUCAUUCUGAACUGGAAUGAAAUAAUAUCAAAUUUUCUGCAAAAUUAGUAAUUCUAAAUGUCAAGUGCUACAGUAUAAGGUAUAUACAGUAUAAGUGCUGCAGCUGUUAUGGUCAGAUCAUAAAAACUAUGUUUUGGAUACGGUUUAAGUCCUGAAGUCUCAGAACAGGGCUUAUAGGAUAGACAUACAUAUGUCUCUCUGUAUGCCUAGUUAUAUAUCACAUUCCUUACACAUUAUCCUUCUUAAGAUUUACUAACUUGUACUUUAUAGAAACAUUUGAAUCCAGGCAACUGGCCUGCUGAUAUGAUGCAUGAAUAUACUAUUCUCAAGAAAAUAUAUUCACCAGCUUACUGUGUUUAUAAAAAUUAUCAUGAAAUAGUAAUGUUUCCUCCAGAAUGAUAAAUCCCUUUGAGUCACAAUGUUUUUCCUGCGGAGAGCCUCAUGCUGUUCCUCAGUGCUUUGUUGACCCAGCUCUCUCACAUUGUAAUGGGUAAGCUAAUAUUCUUUGUAUAUUUAUCUUAACAUCAAUACUUUUAAUAUUUCAUUCUUCAUUAUUCUGCUUUGACAAAUGCAUAAGUGGCACAAAAGAACUUUGGUUGUGUUGAUGUGCCUUGUUCACAUUUGUGGCAUGAUGCAAUCAUUCAGGUUUCUUAUCAGUGCAAAUGCAUAGUGAGUUAUGAUAAAACACCAACAGAAAUUCUCUGUGUCAAGAGGUAAGCCGAAGGGAUCAAAAAUGAUCUCCUUGACCUGAUGUAUAAAACAAUAUAAAUGCCAAUGCUAAUGAGUGGAGAAGCUCCUUAGUACUUUCCAAAGUCUCAUCCUAGGAGAAAGUGAGAGAUAAAGGUAUUUGAUAAAACAUCAUGUUUGGAAAAUAGAUUUCAGAAAAAGUGCAAAAUUGACAAAUUUUUUCCUUUGACAUUUUCCAGAUUAAACAAAAUUCAAGUUUUUUGAUCAGAAGAAACUUUAAUUUAUAAAAUCUAAACUAAUUAAUCCUAAAAAAGUUUACAUGACAGCAAACUGACAGACCCUAAGCACGUUUUUGGAGUGGAAAAUUCUGUCAUAGACUUUUGAAAUAUUUCCAAAUUUUAUUCCAAUUUGGUGUGGGGGUAAGGUUUGAAAUCUCAAAAAGUUUUCUGGGAUAGGUAAGUCUUUUUCUCCACAGCUCAGCUGAGCUUCCACAACACAUCAGUAUCUGCAUGUGUCUUGCAGUUCUACAGAAAGGAAAAGAAUACAAUCUUAAGGAUUUUUUUUGAACCCUUAAAAAAAUCUUGAAUCCUUUUAGAUAUCUUUUUAAAAAUUAAGUUGAUGAAAAAAAGAUACGUAAUGUUAUAUACUUUUAUAAAAAAUCUAAUGUUUAAAAAUGUAUUUGAACUUAUUGAAAUAAUGACUAUUUUCUUAGGGAAAUUGAAUUUAUGUAAAAUCCUGCUACAGCAAAUUGCCAUUUGGUAGGUGAAAGACAGAGGAGAAUACGGUCCAUUUCCUCGCUAUGAUAUUAAUUCCUUAGAGCUAUAUUGUUUUCUAUUACUUUGCUAAUGGUCCUCUAAGUAGUCAGCAAUUUUUUAUGUCCUUAAAUAUGUAAACAUCUCAAAAUCUUGCCCCUUUUUUUCUCUUAAAUUCCAAAAUAUUAUUUUUGUUUAUUCUUUGAAAUCAUGAGAAUGUCAGAUUGAGUUUUGUUGGAAGUGUCAGAUCUUGAUUGGUUAUGUACUUCCUCUCCUCGAUGAUUUGAUGACUUCAUUAGAGAAAAUAAACAAGCUGCAAAGCUUUAGAUACUUUGAUUA